rfam:Rattus norvegicus chromosome 14, whole genome shotgun sequence.
GGGGAUUUAGCUCAGUGGUAGAGUGCUUGCCUAGCAAGUACAAGGCCCUGGGUUCGGUCCCCAGCUCCG